GACGAACGCUGGCGGCGUGCUUAACACAUGCAAGUCGAACGAGAAUCUACUGACGGAGUUUUCGGACAACUGAAGUAGAGGACAGUGGCGGACUGGUGAGUAACGCGUGAGGAACCUGCCUUUCAGAGGGGGACAACAGUUGGAAACGACUGCUAAUACCGCAUGACGCAUUCGGAUGGCAUCAUCUGAAUGCCAAAGAUUUAUCGCUGAAAGAUGGCCUCGCGUCUGAUUAGCUAGUUGGCGGGGUAACGGCCCACCAAGGCGACGAUCAGUAGCCGGACUGAGAGGUUGACCGGCCACAUUGGGACUGAGAUACGGCCCAGACUCCUACGGGAGGCAGCAGUGGGGAAUAUUGGGCAAUGGGCGCAAGCCUGACCCAGCAACGCCGCGUGAAGGAAGAAGGGCUUUCGGGUUGUAAACUUCUUUUAAGAGGGAAGAGCAGAAGACGGUACCUCUAGAAUAAGCCACGGCUAACUACGUGCCAGCAGCCGCGG
rnacentral:rRNA from 1 species